GAUGAACGCUGGCGGCGUGCCUAAUACAUGCCAGUAGAACGCUGAAGGAAGGAGCUUGCUCUUUCCGGAUGAGUUGCGAACGGGUGAGUAACGCGUAGGUAACCUGCCUGGUAGCGGGGGAUAACUAUUGGAAACGAUAGCUAAUACCGCAUAACAGUAGAUGUUGCAUGAUAUCUACUUAAAAGGUGCAAUUGCACCACUACCAGAUGGACCUGCGUUGUAUUAGCUAGUUGGUGAGGUAACGGCUCACCAAGGCGACGAUACAUAGCCGACCUGAGAGGGUGAUCGGCCAAACUGGGACUGAGACACGGCCCAGAAUCCUACGGGAGGCAGCAGGAGGGAAUCAUCGGAAAUGGACGGAAGGCUGACCGAGCAACGCCGCGUGAGUGAAGAAGGGUUUCGAAUCGUAAAGCUCUGUUGUAAGAGAAGAACGAGUGUGAGAGUGGAAAGUUCACACUGUGACGGUAUCUUACCAGAAAGGGACGGCUAACUACGUG
rnacentral:rRNA from 1 species